rnacentral:lncRNA from 1 species
UGGAAUCGACUCCGAGCCCAGCUGGCACAUGUUUAUGCGAUUUUGUCACAGCUGGGUCGAAGAGAUGUGCUCCUAAACUGCUCGAGAGACAGUCCAGACGAAAUUUCUAAAAUCUUCAUGAAGAACGUGACAUCAUUUUGGAUGGCCUAAGGGGAAUUACCCAUUGAGAUGUGGACGGAACCUUGAGUAAAUCCUCUGGAAACAAACAGAACCGUUCUUCACCAAACUCAAACCUCGUUGUCGCGGUCAGCUCCUCUCUACAGCUUAAGUCUGCAGAUAUACAUGGCGAGCCAACUGGUCAAACUGGUAACAUUGGAAAAGCUGUCCAUACAGAGAUACCACCACAUUACGUCACUGAAGGUCCUGGGUGUUCAAAAAUGUAGUCACGGGCAGACAUCGGCAGGAAAGAUCUCUUUAAGGAUGAAACAGAUAAUAAUGUUGCUGUCUGUUUCUGGUCUUCCAUGGUGGUUGUUGGUGUGCAUUGACACAUGAAGGCCUUCAGAUGGAGAAUGAGGCAGGGACCAUAUAGAUGUGUCCUGAAUGAG